CAAGAGAUCUAGCUAAGGGUUACCUGAGGACAAAUUUAUAUUUGCUUGUUUUAACCAGCUAUACAAGAUGGAUCCUGAUAUUUUCAAUACAUGGUGCAACAUCCUUAAGCGAGUACCAAAUAGUGCACUUUGGCUUCUCAGAUUUCCUGCUGCUGGCGAGUCGAGACUCUGCAAUUAUGCUGUUCAAAGAGGUGUACAACCAGAUCAUAUUAUUUUCACAGAUGUUGCCAUGAAGGGUGAACAUAUCAAGCGCAGUUCUUUAGCAGAUUUAUUCUUGGACACGUAAGCAUGCUUAAUACUUUUUUUUCUAUUUUUUUAUUAUUCAAGUGUAUUUAUCUUAGUACAAUACAAUAUGUAACUUUAUUUUGACAUUUGAUGUUGCUAUUGCUGAUUGAUUUUGUUAUUGCUGUUUUGUUUCUUUAUUUUUUUUUGGUGGUGUGUGCUCUGUAGCAUUGCAUUUAGUUAGCUUAAUAUUUAGCUCAUAUUUUCUUGAGUCGUUGCACCAGAAUUCCCUUAAUCAAGAGCCAUAUUCUAUCAGAAGUGAAUCAUGUCUUGUUAACAUAAUGAUUUUUCAACUGGUUACAGGUCUUUCCCAGAGUUUGGACAACAAUUUUAAUUUCUCUAGACAAUAGUGGCAUGUGGAACAUUCGAACAGACAAUCUAAACUCGUGGUAUCUAGGCCAGGAAACGUACAUUAGUGUCGUAAACUCUGAGUUUGUGAGAAGAAUUGCAGAAGCAGCAGAAAGUAAGUUCAAUUCAAUUUCGUUUUCUGGUUUUAGAUAUGCAACACGCAUUUUAUUGAUUUUUCCUCUUUUUUAUUUCUAUUUAAUGUGAUAAAUAUUUCCAAGUCUAUACUUACUUUACAUUUAUUCAAUAAGACCAAAUAAGAAAAGAAGAAGAAAGAAAAAAGUCUACUGUUCUUUAA